CAUAGCGUAGCUAAAAUAGUAUAGCAUCUCCCUUACACUGAGAAAUCAUUCGUGCAACCCGAAUCGCCAUGA
rnacentral:tRNA from 1 species